GGUUGUGUAGUGUAAUGGCUAUCACUCCAGAUUCUGAAAUAUGGAUCUUCUGGCAAUCCCGGUUCGAUCCCGGGCACGACCU
rnacentral:tRNA from 1 species